AACGUAGGACGCAAGCGUUAUCCGGAAUUAUUGGGCGUAAAGAGCUCGUAGGCGGUUUGUCGCGUCUGCCGUGAAAGUCCGGGGCUCAACUCCGGAUCUGCGGUGGGUACGGGCAGACUAGAGUGAUGUAGGGGAGACUGGAAUUCCUGGUGUAGCGGUGAAAUGCGCAGAUAUCAGGAGGAACACCGAUGGCGAAGGCAGGUCUCUGGGCAUUAACUGACGCUGAGGAGCGAAAGCAUGGGGAGCGAACAGG
rnacentral:rRNA from 1 species